rnacentral:lncRNA from 1 species
GCAAAUAGAAGAUCCGGAUCAAAUUUGCAAGGGUUCUUCUUGCUGACUGGCUUUGUCGUGCUGCUUUUCUAAUACUAAAGAUUCCAAUCACCAUAGAGCAAGGGGCAGUUCGAUAGAAGAUUAUUAGGUCUUCUAAGGUAGGAAUUAGGACUAGUUAGAUUAUUAUCGGUCAUAUGUUACUGGUGUUGCUAAAAUAGAUAACAGAAUAAUGAAACAACAAAUCUCCCAGAUGAUUGCUGGAUUACCAAUUGAAAUGGAGUCACAAUGUUGCAUGCUUUAGAAAAAGAUGUUUUUCUAUCUUGGAGCAUGUUUACAAUUAUGUGAGAAGCGAGCAAGCGGACUUUCUAGUGCUGCUGACUGAUCAACAUUAGCUGGGAUGGUUGAGCAGUAAAGGGACGAAACUGCAGCAACACAUGGGUUCGUCCCAAGUAAGAGAGUCCAGAGAAAGCAUGGUGUGGUCAUUGUAAUAUGUAGACACACCAAGUUGUGUUAGGAUUUAAACACUACUUUGAGAGCCAAGAAUAAAGGAUCUAACUGCAAUUUGGGUUUUGAGGAAAGAAAUCUGGUAUCCAUUCUGUUAACAAAAGUGUUAAUUGGUGAUUCUUGAAAUAAUAAUAAUAAAAGGCAUACCAUAGGAUCAAAUGGGAGGCAAAGCAACUCUUACCAUUCAUACAUCAUAUAACAAUUCUUAAUCCCUCCCUCAGAACUCUUGAAUCAUAGUUCCAGCACCUUCUGACAUACGUUCAGUAAAUAAGAAGGUUUCUCUUCUAUCAUUCCCAUCUAAGGUGGGGUAAAUUUAGCUAAAACACCUUUAUCUUAGGCUUACUCCCCUAUAUCUCUUCCAUCAUUCUUUUCCUUUUAACUUGUUAUUGGCAAGUAAACUUACCAAGCAACUGAAUUGUAGUGCAGCAUUUUUUUUUCCUUCAUACAAUGUCUUCCGAGACUUGAAAUCAAAGAAGAUGAUUGGUGGUGGUCAUGAAGCCAAUCGUCUAUCCUCUUGAUGUUGAUAGAACUAUAGUUACCUAGGUGAUGUUAAUAAUGUCACAAAUUAGUCUCGUUUUUGGCAUCAGAUGCUUGGGUAUAUUUUUUUCAUGUCUGUUUGUUUACUUUUAAGUAGCCAGUUUGAGUCGAGUAACUUUAAGAUGACUUCUGAAACUUGUUAUCUGAGCAUUGUAGGAUAAGUUAUCCUUUAAUGUUUUUUCAUUUUGAUAUGUAGGUAUUUACUCCCUUUCUUUCUUGGUUUGGUGAUCCUCAUUUCAUUUAUUUGUCGACCACUUCUUUCAAACUUAUUACAUAUAUUUGAUUAAAAGUAUGGAUGAGCUCCCAUAUUGUUCAUAAUUUCUAUGAAAUGGUUGAAACAUAAAAAUCAAGACAUUUUGUGCUGAUCAAGCAAGGGAUGG